rnacentral:tRNA from 1 species
GGCUUCGUAGCUCAGCUGGUAGAGUGCUUGCCGCGUUGAGGCAUGACCUUUCUGUCACUGGCUCGAAUCCAGCCGAAGCCC